CGGGGUGAGUAACGCGUGAGUAACCUGCCUUCAAGAGGGGGAUAACAUUCUGAAAAAGAAAUGCUAAUACCGCAUGACAUAUCGGAACCACAUGGUUUUGAUAUCAAAAGAUUUUAUCGCUUGAAGAUGGACUCGCGUCCGAUUAGUUAGUUGGUGAGGUAACGGCUCACCAAGACCGCGAUCGGUAGCCGGACUGAGAGGUUGAACGGCCACAUUGGGGACUGAGACACGGCCCAGACUCCUACGGGGAGGCAGCAUG
rnacentral:rRNA from 1 species